rnacentral:rRNA from 1 species
AUUGGACGCUGGCGGCAGGCCUAACACAUGCAAGUCGAGCGGCAGCGGGAAAGUAGCUUGCUACUUUUGCCGGCGAGCGGCGGACGGGUGAGUAAUGCCUGGGGAUCUGCCCAGUCGAGGGGGAUAACUACUGGAAACGGUAGCUAAUACCGCAUACGCCCUACGGGGGAAAGCAGGGGACCUUCGGGCCUUGCGCGAUUGGAUGAACCCAGGUGGGAUUAGCUAGUUGGUGAGGUAAGGGCUCACCAAGGCGCCGAUCCCUAGCUGGUCUGAGAGGAUGAUCAGCCACACUGGAACUGAGACACGGUCCAGACUCCUACGGGAGGCAGCAGUGGGGAAUAUUGCACAAUGGGGGCAACCCUGAUGCAGCCAUGCCGCGUGUGUGAAGAAGGCCUUCGGGUUGUAAAGCACUUUCAGCGAGGAGGAAAAGUUGGUAGCUAAUAACUGCCAGCUGUGACGUUACUCGCAGAAGAAGCACCGGCUAACUCCGUGCCAGCCGCCGCAGUAA